rnacentral:rRNA from 1 species
UACGUAGGGUGCAAGCGUUUGUCCGGAAUUAUUGGGGCGUAAAGAGCUCGUAGGUGGCCUGUCGCGUCGGCUGUGAAAACUCGGGGCUCAACUCCGAGCUUGCAGUCGAUACGGGCAGGCUAGAGUUCGGCAGGGGAGACUGGAAUUCCUGGUGUAGCGGUGAAAUGCGCAGAUAUCAGGAGGAACACCGGUGGCGAAGGCGGGUCUCUGGGCAUUAACUGACGCUGAGGAGCGAAAGCAUGGGGAGCGAACAGG